rnacentral:misc_RNA from 1 species
AAAAAAAAAAAAAAAAAAUAUUUUAAAAAAAAAAAAAAAAAAUUCAAAUCCAAAAUAUCUGGGGUCAGGGAAAAGGGAGACAGAGAAAUGAAGGUCCAAUACAAUAUGGUAGUCGUUUGUGAUGCAAGUAACUUACGAACCAACAUGAAAGAUUAUCAGACUGCCUAAUAUAACAAAUUUUAUACAACAAUCAUUUCAUAUUUACACGCUCUAAUUGCAGGGAUGUUAGCAACUAAGGUAUUCACAGAACAAUGAAUUAACUAGCUGCGAUCUGCAAUUGGAUUCUCAAGAUGUUCGAUAUCCAGUCAAAUCAAACGUCAGAGUUCUUGAGCAGCUCCUCUCGGAGUCCCUGUAAACCCCAACCAGAGCUUCAGCCUUGUCAUAAAAGCUAUCCUUCAGAGAUAUCACAAUACUUUGAAAACCGCUGCCAACAUCAGCAUCCUGAAUAUUCCGGCCUCCUUCACAAGAUUUCGAGCGAAUAAAUCCAGCAACCUUUGCAACAUUUAAAUUAUCCAAUGCAGCAUCGACUUCAUCCAAUAUGAAAAAGGGCGAUGGUCUAUAACUGUGGAUAGAAAAGAGUAAUGCCAGUGCUGCUACAGUCUUCUCCCCACCAGACAGCUGUUCCAUGUCGCGGAAUCGCUUUGUUGGGGGCAUAGCAGUGUAUUUGAUGCCAUGUAAGAAGGGGUCGUCCUCAUUUUCUAAGUUUAAAUAUGCUGUACCACCCAGUGGAUGCGUGUUACUCUUUGUCAGCUGUUUAUAAAUCUUGUCAAUAUUAUUUGAUAUGUGAUUAAAAGCUUCCAUAAACAACUCGUAUCUUCUCUGCUUAACUGAAUUGUAAGCAUCAGCUACUUGCUUCUCCUCCUUUCUUGCUGCUUCAAAUUCUUCAGUCACUGCUCUUUCCUUCUCUAGCAGAGCCUCAUACUGAUCCAGAGCCUUCAAAUUUGGAGCCGUUUUUUCAAUUUCUGAUAUUAUGGCAUCCAUUUUUUGCUUAAAAUCUGCCUCAAGCUUUUCUCGGUCAGAAGGUCUCCUGUCCUGAAGAAGAGAUCUAUUCAGCUGAUUAAAAUCAAAAUAUGGGCCUGGGGUCUCGGAGUCAAUUUCCAUUGGGUCUGAAAUAGUGGGAAGGCUUAUGUGUUCUAAUUCACACUUCUCCACAAUAUCUUGCUUCCGAGACAAUAGUUGCUCAAUCUGUCCCUCCUUAGAGUUUAUCUGACGGUUAAGCUUUGAUAUGCUUGUUGCAGCUGCAGAAGCCUGCUUCUUCCAUUCAAGCAUCUCCUUCUCGCACUCUUCUGACUUGGAUUUCCACUCUCGCACUUCUUCCUUCCAUUUAUUUAUCUCACCAGUAGCUUUCUCUGUUGCUAACUUAACUUCAGCCUCUUUUUUUUGAACUUGUUUUAGCUCAUUUUCUAAAGUACCAAUAGAAGUUUCCAAUUUCUUAAUUCGUGAGUCCAUGUCUCGCUUUUGCUCAUACUCCAACUGGUACUUCAACUUUGCCAACUGAUUACUCAAGCUAAGCCUUUCUUCAGCCACAUGCUGGGCAGCCUUGACAUGGUUUUCUUCAUACUCACGGAUGUUUGCUACCCCAACAGUCUUACUAAAAUCUUUGUAUAUUCGGUCAACAAUCUCAUUGAUUCUCUUCUCCAGCCUACUGAUUACAGUCGCCCUCUUAUCAACAGCAUCUUUUAACUUAUGAAGUUCAGGUUUUAGACGAUCAAUUUCCUCUUUAAUAAUAUGCUUUUCCCUUUUCAAGUUUUCAAGUUUGUCCUCAAUGCUUCGCUUCUCAAUCUCGGCAUACUGAAUCUUCUUCUCAAGUCCACUAAUUUUCCCAGAUGCUUCAGACUCUUUUAGAUGCAUCUCUCUAAUUGACCCAAGCUCUUCUAACUCUUUUUCAAGCUGUUCCUUCUUCUUCUUUAGCUUCAGAAUGGAUUCUUCAAUCUUUUUAUCAUCCCACUGUUUUGACCUUGCUUCCAUUCCACCACUUGUACCACCAGUCAUUGUGCCAGACUUCGAGAGUAGGAUCCCAUCAACAGUUACAACUUUGAACCUCUCCCCACUCCAACUAAGAACCUUGGCUUCAUCUAGGUCAUCACAAACUAGAGUAUUUCCAACAGCAAAGAGAAUUGCUUUCUCCAGGACAGGAUCAAAUUGGAUCACAUCAAAGACCAACUUUGCAGUACCACCUAAGGUACGCAACCGUUCAACAAUUGGCUUUACACGAACUGACUGAAGAGGUAUAAAUGUCUGAGGAGGAAGCCUUUGCUCUUUCAAAUACUUAAUGCACUCUUUUCCUGUAUUUUCGUCUUCAACCACUACUGCAUCCAUGAAUUUACCCAUAGCUACAGUAACAGCAAGAUUGUACUUUUUCUGGGUUGGCCUGCAGAGGUCAGUCAUCCGACCAUGAACUCCUUGAAAUAGGCGCUUGAGAGUCUCAACUGCCUGAGACAACCUAGCAUCUCUCUCAUUCUCAUGUCUAUCCGCUUUCACUUCACGUAGUUGGAUUUCUACUUCACCAAUUCUAGACUUCAGAUUCUCAUAUUUAUUCCUAGAGUCUCGAUGUUUAUCUUGCAUCUCUCGCAAUUCCUUUUUCAGAUCUGUCAGCUCCUUCUUAUUCUUUGUGGAAGUAUCAUGAAUCUUUUUUUGUCUUGCUCGCAUUUGAGCCUCCUGGGCAUCCAGUUCAUGCUCCCGAUUUAUCAACUGCUGGAGGUUUUCUUCCAAAUUCUUUUGAGCUUCCAUAUCAGCAUGCUGUUGCCUGUCCAGAACCUCCUUUUCAUCCCUUAGCUUGACAGUUUUCAUCCCCGCAUCCUCCUUAAUCCGAAAAUAUUCAGUUAGUUGACUGUCAGCUAGGGGGAGUUUUUCACCACCAUCCCGACUUUUUUCAUGCAGAUCUUCUAGUUUUGCAGCCAGAUCCUGUAUGCCCUUCUGGAGCUCAUCUAUCUCAUCAGAAUGCUUCCUCCUUUCUUCUCUUUUCUUAUCAAGCUCCUUACGGUUACUCUUAAUUUUUGAAUUUAUACGAGACAUUUCCUCAUUUAGUUUCAAAAGUUCAGGUUGAUUUUUGUCAAUCUUAGAACUUCUCUCUGCAAUCUUCUUUUCACAUUGUGCAAUCUCUUUCAAGUAUUUCACUUGUUCUUUCUUCUUUUUGCUUGCUUCAAAUUCAAACUUCUCCAGUUCUUGCAUGACACCUUCUCGAUUUCUCUUUUCAGCUUCAAGGUCAUCAUUCAUCUUUUUAAUGUCCUUAUCUAUAAUAAAUAAUUGCCAUAAGAAGUGUUCUUUCUUCAAAGCUUUCAGUUGAUCUUGCAAGCGAAGAUGUUUUUCUGCUUCUUCCUUCUGCUCUUUUUUUUGCUUCCUCUCCAUAACUACUGUUCUCUUGUUCUGAUAAGCCAGCGCUGAUUUUUCUUCAGCACUGGCUUUCUUCUCUUCCAGAUCCUCAUAUUCUCUCUUGAGCUCCUCUGACCCAGAGAUCUGCUCAAGCAGUGCAGUCAAUUCUUUGGGGUUUUUAGAUGCAAUGGACUCCACAUCGCCCUGAAAGACCAAAAAAUUCCUGGCCUUUACAAGAAUCCCCAGCGACCUUAAUCUCGCAUUAUACUCAUCCCAAUUAACGACCUUCCCAUCAAUCCGGUACUCACUACCUCCUGCGCUGGUAAUGGUGCGAGUGAAGUGGAGCUCCGACCCAUUAGCCAACAGGUAAACCAAACGCACAAAAGCCCUUCGACCUUUCUGCUCCUUCUCGCGGUCGUCAUAGGCGUAGAUGAGGUCCUUGAGCUGGGCCCCACGGAGCUGGCCCGUACGUACACCAAGGACGAAGCUGAUAGCGUCCAUUAAAUUGGACUUGCCAGCGCCAUUGGGGCCAAUUAUGGCCGUGAAGUCCUUAAAAGGACCAAUUGUUUGUAGGCCCUUGUAGGACUUGAAAUUCUCCAUCUCUAAUUGGAGGAUUUUGCCGGAGGAGAUCAUUGAGGGCAUGGUUUUAGAGAGAGAAAAGGAGAGUUAGGGUUUUGAGUUGAAAUUUUUGGAGGGAGAUUCAAAGAGGAUAAGGAAGCUAGGGUUUAACAGAGUAGAAAUGUGGAUUUCUUCACUGUUGGUAGUGCAAAACAGGGGUUUUGAUGGAUGGGAGAAUUGGCGGGAGAGAAAUUUUUUUGGAGGAAUUUUUAGAGAGAGCUUGGGCUGCCAUUUAUCAGGGUAGAGAGUUGGGACUAGAGAACGGACCAGAUGAGAUGGAACUGCCGUUUUUU